rnacentral:tRNA from 1 species
AUAAUGUUAGGUUGAAAAUUCUUUAUUUAUUAAAUGAGGAAAAGCGUUUGUGCGUGUGCGAUUUGAGCGAUAUUUUG